rnacentral:rRNA from 1 species
UACGAAGGGGCUAGCGUUGCUCGGAAUCACUGGGCGUAAAGGGUGCGUAGGCGGGUCUUUAAGUCAGGGUGAAAUCCUGGAGCUCAACUCCAGAACUGCCUUGAUACUGAGGAUCUUGAGUUCGGGAGAGGUGAGUGGAACUGCGAGUGUAGAGGUGAAAUUCGUAGAUAUUCGCAAGAACACCAGUGGCGAAGGCGGCUCACUGGCCCGAGUACUGACGCUGAGGCACGAAAGCGUGGGGAGCA